AUUGAACGCUGGCGGCAUGCCUUACACAUGCAAGUCGAACGGCAGCACGGGAGCAAUCCUGGUGGCGAGUGGCGAACGGGUGAGUAAUAUAUCGGAACGUGCCCAGUCGUGGGGGAUAACGUAGCGAAAGCUACGCUAAUACCGCAUACGAUCUAUGGAUGAAAGCGGGGGAUCGCAAGACCUCGCGCGAUUGGAGCGGCCGAUAUCAGAUUAGGUAGUUGGUGGGGUAAAAGCCCACCAAGCCGACGAUCUGUAGCUGGUCUGAGAGGACGACCAGCCACACUGGGACUGAGACACGGCCCAGACUCCUACGGGAGGCAGCAGUGGGGAAUUUUGGACAAUGGGCGCAAGCCUGAUCCAGCAAUGCCGCGUGCAGGAUGAAAGGCCUUCGGGUUGGUAAACUAGCUUUGUUACGGAACGAAACGGUACUCUCCUAA
rnacentral:rRNA from 1 species